ensembl:lncRNA
AUGCACGUCAUUUGAUAGGAAGUGAUUUCAGAAACAUGAGACUGUAGGAGUAUAGCUGGGGAUUCAUGAAAUGGGGGAGAGAGGUUACAAUGAGGCCCUUUUCCAUGGCUGAGGCUGGAACAUACUGCAGCAACUGUACCUUCACUGUGGCACUAAUAACAACCACUGGCUUCCACAAGUGAAAGCAUUGCUCCUGAAACAGAGGAGUAGCAAGGAGUUAAGCGAGACAGAGGGCAGACUGGGGAACAUGCAAGUUCCUCCACGCAGCCCCACAGGAAACCUGCACUACCCUGCUCUUCUGACCCAAGCGUUUCUUGAGCUCAUCUGAGCUCCCCACUCCCUCUGUGGGAAGGGGUGAUAAAUAUUCUGGGAGGGCAUGCACACGGAUACUAUGCAUACUCCAGAAUAGGUUAAGUGCUUCAAGGUAUUGCCAGUUUAUGCACAGUUUGCUGAUAUCUUAAAACACAUUCAGAAUUGUCUCCCUAGUUUUCAAAACCCAUCUUGCACUGUCUCUUCAUCUUCUUUCCAGCUUUGUGUCACUUCAAGACCAUAUAUCACUCUUGACCUAUUCUUUCUUUGCCACUGUAGAACUCUCGUGGUUAGUGGUUAUUGCUUGUUUUCAUCCUGCUUUUUUCCACGUAUCUGCAAAACAGUCUCACCUUCCUAUCGAGAACAUUAUACUAGUUCUCAUGCAUAGCUUUCCUGUUUGCUUUAACCUGUGACUGACUGACACUAUUCAUCUUCCACUUUCAUUUAAAACAAGCUCUCAAAAGUCCUUAUGGCUUGCUUUUUUUUUUUUUUUCUUUUGCCACUUGAAAUGUUAGUUUUCCUUCUCUGUCCUUGGCUCAAGGAUUCUCUCCUUCUGCAAAGUUGAGCUUUGCUGUAUCCAGCUGUGCAGAAGCUGUUUUAUUUAUUCAUAUAUUCUAUGAAGGAAUACAAGAUCUCUGUUCCAUACAGUGUUGGUGGGAUAAAAGGUAAAAAGCAAGGGAAAGGUAGUACCAUCCUAUGUGGAAUACGAAGGAGUAAUACUGCUUGUAAGGAAAAUGAGCCUAGAGAGUUUACCAAGAAAUGAGAACAUGUGCAAAAGGCAAAGAAUGUGGACGUAAUUGGUAUCUUCAACAAAGAGCACAUUCAGUUUUACAAAUGUGAACUCUUUUCAUGCUAUUUUCUAGGAGGAACAGGAAAAACUGCAAAAAAUGUUUAGCUGCCUCCUUAUUCAUUUUCAAAUUAUCUUUUAAAAUCCAGCUAUCUUCAGGCACGCAUUUCCCAGCAUAUCCAAUUUCUUAUACUCCUGUAUUUCUAACUCAGAACUAUACUACAAAUAAAUUAAAUGUAUGCUAUUUUUCUUUGUUUUGUUGGUUUGGUUUUUUUGUUUGUUUGUUUGCUAUCCUCAUCUUGCUGGCUGAACCUUUUCAUGGACUUUUAGAGGUCCAGUGUUAAAGCAUUAGAGCUUAGCUGCAGCCUUGAUAGUGGUAAGGAUUUAUUCCCUGCAGCAUGCCUAAGAACAAAUUUUGAUAUACUUUUAGGCUGAAACUGACAAAUUGGAAGAGGUUAGAAACCUUUCAAUGAUUUGUGUGUAAUAUUUCACUCAACUUUGUCCCACUAUCCAUGACUUUCAAUAUGCAACUACCUUUAUUUAAGAAGUACUCUUAUAUUGUUUAUCUAUCCUGCAAUUCAUAAUGAUUUCAAGCAAGAGACUAUUCAAAAAGGGGAGAGGAAGUAACAGAAAGGAAGAAGGUAUAUUCUAAGAUGUUCAUUAGGUAAGAGAGAGGAGGUUAAUUCUUGAAUUGGUGUAAACAGCUAUUGCUUUAGUGAAGUUGAUAAAGAUACACUAAUUUGCUCCACAUGAGACCAAAACUGUGCUCAGCAUUUUCAGCUGAAUGGCACUGAUAUACAGGUGUUUCUGGAUAUGUGUUGAUAUGAAUAGAAAAAUAUUUUAUGUGCAGUGAAGAUAUCACAGCUUGAGCAAGAAGUACACAUAAUGCUUUUGAGUUUAGAUAUUAUACCACUUUGUAGCCUCAUUUAGUUAGAUUUAUUUCAGUGCUGCCUUUCUUCCUGUACAUUCAAGCUAAUACUACAAAAAUCAAAAGCAUCUUACUGGAAGAGUUGAUGUCCUCCAAAAAUACUUGAAAAGAAAUAUGAUUAAAAAGGUCUCCACUCUUCCUAAAGCAAAAUACUAAAUGGAGCCUUUUUUUUUUUUUUUUUUUUUUUUUAUAUAUAUAUUAUUUUCCAGUCACCUCUACUGGCUAUAUUUAUGGUAUCCUUUGCGAAUAGUAAAUUUUAUAACAACAAGUCGUUGUGAGCCUAUGUCUGUUAUAAGGAGAAAAGAUAGCACUUUGGUGUGACUACCAGUAAGUUACCAAAAAAUUUCUGUGCAAAGCAGAAAGUAAAAAAAAUUCAAGUAACUUUUCUAUAUGCAUUUUAGGUAUGUCCAUACAUUAAUCACCUUGAAACAAUCAUCCUACACUAUGAGAAGCUAUGCUUUGUACAGGACCAUUUUGUUUACGUGUCCGUAUAAUUUAAACAUAAGGCUAUUCUUAUUUCUUCAG